GUGUGAACAGGGCAAGUGCCCAGGCCUCUGGGCCUGUGGGUAGUGGCAGUGUCUCCAUUGGCUGGUGGGCAAUGGAGGCUUCUGGGUGGGGUGGGAGGAGAUAGGGAAGAGAAAGGCAGAGGCUUUAGGGAACUACUUUGGGUUUGAUUGGGGCAGAACAUAAACUCUUGUUGGAGGGGCCAAAUUCUGAAAAGUAUUGACUGCUUAUGGAAGGAGUUGAACUUGAACCCAAAAACUAAGAGUCAUAGAUGGUGUUUGAAAAGGGUCUCUGUCACUCAGGCUGGAGUGGAGUGGCAAGAUCAAGGUUCACUGCAGCCUCGACCUCCGUGGGUUCCAGCCAUCCUCCCACCUCAGCCUCCCGAGUAGCUGGGUCUCCAG
rnacentral:lncRNA from 10 species